CCUACGGGGGGCUGCAGUGAGGAAUAUUGGUCAAUGGACGAGAGUCUGAACCAGCCAAGUAGCGUGAAGGAUGACUGCCCUAUGGGUUGUAAACUUUUUUUAUAUGGGAAUAAAAUGUUCCACGUGUGGGAUUUUGUAUGUACCAUAUGAAUAAGGAUCGGCUAACUCCGUGCCAGCAGCCGCGGUAAUACGGAGGAUCCGAGCGUUAUCCGGAUUUAUUGGGUUUAAAGGGAGCGUAGGUGGAUUGUUAAGUCAGUUGUGAAAGUUUGCGGCUCAACCGUAAAAUUGCAGUUGAAACUGGCAGUCUUGAGUACAGUAGAGGUGGGCGGAAUUCGUGGUGUAGCGGUGAAAUGCUUAGAUAUCACGAAGAACUCCGAUUGCGAAGGCAGUUCACUGGACUGCAACUGACACUGAGGCUCGAAAGUGUGGGUAUCAAACAGGAUUAGAUACCCUAGUAGUC
rnacentral:rRNA from 1 species